AUUGAACGCUGGCGGCAUGCCUUACACAUGCAAGUCGAACGGUAACAGGUUAAGCUGACGAGUGGCGAACGGGUGAGUAAUGUAUCGGAACGUGCCCAGUCGUGCGUGAUAACUGCUCGAAAGAGCAGCUAAUACCGCAUACGACCUGCGGGUGAAAGCGGGGGAUCGCAAGACCUCGCGCGAUUGGAGCGGCCGAUAUCCGAUUAGGUAGUUGGUGAGGUAAAGGCUCACCAAGCCGACGAUCUGUAGCCGGUCUGAGAGGACGACCAGCCACACUGGGACUGAGACACGGCCCAGACUCCUACGGGAGGCAGCAGUGGGGAAUUUUGGACAAUGGGCGCAAGCCUGAUCCAGCCAUGCCGCGUGAGGGAAGAAGGCCUUCGGGUUGUAAACCGCUUUUGUCAGGGAAGAAAAGGUUCUGGCUAAUACCUGGGACUCAUGACGGUACCUGAAGAAUAAGCACCGGCUAACUACGUG
rnacentral:rRNA from 1 species